rnacentral:rRNA from 1 species
GAGUAUGCCCUCAAGCCCCCCCCUGGUAAGAGGAGCCGAUAUCAGGCACACCAAUUAGCCCAAGACAUCUAGUUAAACCACACCCCCACGGGCACGCAGCAGUGAUUAAUGUUAAAAAAUAAGCGACAGCUUGAUCUAAUCAGGGCAACGUAGGGCCGGCAAAUCUGGUGCCAGCCGCCGCGGUUACACCAGUGGCUCAAGUUGAUUAUUUCGGCGUAAAGCGUGGUUAAAGGUUGACUUACACUAGGGCCAAACUUAAACUAAGCCGUAAAAAGCCUAUUACUAAGGAAGAACAGGGACGAAAGUCGCCCUAAUACAUUUUCUUGAACCCACGACAGCUAGGGCACAAACUGGGAUUAGAUACCCCACUAUGCCUAGCCGUAAACUCUUAAUUUACCCAACAAUCGCCAGGGAACUACGAGCAAAGCUUAAAACUCAAGGGACUUGACGGUGCCCCAUAUCCAGCUAGAGGAGCCUGUCCUAUAAUCGAUGAUCCACGUUAAACCUCACCAUUUCUAGCUAUUCAGCCUGUAUACCUCCGUCGUCAGCCCACCACGUGAGUGUUCUUCAGUUGGCUAAAGGGUUACCCCACCAAUACGUCAGGUCAAGGUGCAGCAAAUGAACUGGGAAGAGAUGGGCUACACUCUCUAACUUAGAGAACACGAAAGACUUCAUGAAACACAGUCAGAAGGCGGAUUUAGUAGUAAGGGGGAAUCAUAAUAUC